CUCAAUUUGACCAAAAAAUCGUCAGUGGACUCCAAAAAUAAAAAAUAAACUUAAUUAUUUUCUCCAAAUAAGGCAAGGGCAUUUUUGACAAGUCACAUUUCUCCUAUUAAAUAAAAAAUUUUAAAACAAAAAUUAAAACAAUAACCCAGCCCCAUCUCCUUCUCCUUCUCCAACCACGCACGCCCAAAACCAAAACCACUCUAUCCAACCGCCACCCCCGAUAGCCACCCCAAGUCAUUGCUGUAGCAGAAAAAAGGGACCCCACUAACACCAUCACCAUCAUAGUCUCAAAUCUUUUCCACCACAAAUAGACCACAACUAAUUCACCAAAAGUCAACAAAGAAGUCUCAAAAAAAAUAUCAACAUAAAUCAAAGUUUUGAAAGGAAUUUUACAGAGUUGAAAACAACAAUUAUUUGAUGCCUUUUCUAUUGUAUGAUCUGGUUCAACCACCACUGCCGUCGCUCCCCUUGCGCUUCGUCGAACAAAAAAUUAUGGGACAACAAAUGGCUUGCAAUUGGAAACAGAAGGUCAACUAUUACUGAUAGGUAGUCAGCAUUGGCAUAUGGGUUGCUGCUUGUCGAAUGAAUAUUGCACAAAUGUCUCUAAAAUCCGACCUUCACAUCAUCGUAAUCUUGCUAAAUUGCACGGAUUAAAUCAGAUCAAGCUUUCAUUUUCAUUCAUUUAACCACCGAUUUUCCUAUUCUCUUCAAAAAGAAUCAGCACCAUCACCUCUGCUCUUUUAGAGUUUGAGUUGUAGGUGUUGAACUUUGCUGGCAAAAAAGCGAAUAAUGGAUAAAUUCGAGGGAAUUGAAAAAGUAGCAACAAAAGCCAAACACUAAAGAAGGAAGGGGAUGAGCAGUGGAAUGGAGUCAAAGAUCUUUUCUUCGAGCGGGGAUUCACUAAUAUUC
rnacentral:lncRNA from 1 species